GGGGGGGGGGGGGGGGGGGGGGGGGGGGGGGGGGGGGGGGGGGGGGGGCGGGGGGGGUGGCGCGGGGGGGCGGGGGGGGUGGGGGUGGGCGCUGGGGGGCGGAAUGGCGGGGGGAGAUUGCUGCGAGUACCGGAUGAUGUCUUCGGACCAAAGACUUAUCGCCCAGGGCUGAGCCCGCGUAGGAUUCGCUGGUUGGUGGGGUAAUGGCCUACCAAGGCGACGAUCCUUAGCUGGUCGGAGAGGCGGAUCAGCCACGCUGGGACUGAGACACGGCCCAGACUCCUACGGGAGGCAGCAGUGGGGAAUAUUGGACAAUGGGCGCAAGCCUGAUCCAGCAAUGCCGCGUGAGUGAUGAAGGCCUUAGGGUUGUAAAGCUCUAUUACCCGGGAUGAUAAUGACAGUACCGGGAGAAUAAGCUCCGGCUAACUCCGUG
rnacentral:rRNA from 1 species